rnacentral:rRNA from 2 species
UCCAGGUUCUGGUGCAAGUA